CACGAACGCUGGCGGCGUGCCUAAUACAUGCAAGUCGAGCGAGACUCUUCGGAGUCUAGCGGCGGACGGGUGAGUAACACGUGGGCAACCUGCCUGUAAGACUGGGAUAACACCGGGAAACCGGUGCUAAUACCGGAUAAUCCUUUUCCUCUCAUGAGGGAAAGCUGAAAGUCGGUUUCGGCUGACACUUACAGAUGGGCCCGCGGCGCAUUAGCUAGUUGGUGAGGUAACGGCUCACCAAGGCGACGAUGCGUAGCCGACCUGAGAGGGUGAUCGGCCACACUGGGACUGAGACACGGCCCAGACUCCUACGGGAGGCAGCAGUAGGGAAUCUUCCACAAUGGACGAAGGUCUGAUGGAGCAACGCCGCGUGAGCGAUGAAGGCCUUCGGGUCGUAAAGCUCUGUUGUUAGGGAAGAACAAGUACCGGAGUAACUGCCGGUACCUUGACGGUACCUAACCAGAAAGCCACGGCUAACUACGUGCCAGCCGCCGCAGUAAAAC
rnacentral:rRNA from 1 species